UACGAAAGGUGCAAACGUUGUUCGGAAUCACUGGGCGUAAAGCGCACGUAGGCGGAUUUUUAAGUCGAUUGUGAAAUCCCAGGGCUUAACCUUGGAACUGCAGUCGAAACUGGAAGUCUUGAAUAUCUGAGAGGUUGGGGGAAUUCCUGGUGGAGAAGUGAAAUUCGUAGAUAUCAGGAGGAACACCGGAGGCGAAGGCGCCUGACUGGCAGAAUAUUGACGCUGAUGUGCGAAAGCGUGGGGAGCAAACAGG
rnacentral:rRNA from 1 species